UAAUACGUAGGGGGCGAGCGUUGUCCGGAUUUAUUGGGCGUAAAGAGCUCGUAGGCGGCUUAGCAAGUCGGGUGUGAAAACUCCAGGCUCAACCUGGAGACGCCACUCGAGACUGCUAUGGCUAGAGUCCGGUAGGGGACCACGGAAUUCCUGGUGUAGCGGUGAAAUGCGCAGAUAUCAGGAGGAACACCGGUGGCGAAGGCGGUGGUCUGGGCCGGCA
rnacentral:rRNA from 1 species